AGUGAACGCUGGCGGUAGGCCUAACACAUGCAAGUCGGACGGCAGCACAGUAAGAGCUUGCUCUUACGGGUGGCGAGUGGCGGACGGGUGAGGAAUACAUCGGAAUCUACUUUUUCGUGGGGGAUAACGUAGGGAAACUUACGCUAAUACCGCAUACGACCUACGGGUGAAAGCAGGGGAUCUUCGGACCUUGCGCGAUUGAAUGAGCCGAUGUCGGAUUAGCUAGUUGGCGGGGUAAAGGCCCACCAAGGCGACGAUCCGUAGCUGGUCUGAGAGGAUGAUCAGCCACACUGGAACUGAGACACGGUCCAGACUCCUACGGGAGGCAGCAGUGGGGAAUAUUGGACAAUGGGCGCAAGCCUGAUCCAGCCAUGCCGCGUGGGUGAAGAAGGCCUUCGGGUUGUAAAGCCCUUUUGUUGGGAAAGAAAAGCAGCAGGUUAAUACCCCGCUGUUCUGACGGUACCCAAAGAAUAAGCACCGGCUAACUUCGUG
rnacentral:rRNA from 1 species